rnacentral:sRNA from 1 species
UAUUCUGCCCCAUGGGGAAGGAUGAGAAGCUUCGACUAAGGUUCGACUCGAGCGCCAGCGAGAGAACGUUGCCACAGGCAACUGCCCGAAGGGCGAGGCGCUUUAGCGCCGAGUAAUCCUUCCCCCACCACCA